AGGGUUUGAUCAUGGCUCAGAACGUACGCUGGCGGCACGCCUAACACAUGCAAGUCGAACGAAGUAGCAAUACUUAGUGGCAGACGGGUGAGUAACAUGUAGGUAUCUACCCUUUGGCCUGGAAUAACACGAGGAAACUUGUGCUAAUACUGGAUAAGUCUUUACGGAGAAAGCUUUAUGCACCAUUGGAUGAGCCUGCACUUGAUUAGUUUGUUGGUAGGGUAAUGGCCUACCAAGACUUUGAUCAAUAGCUGAUUUGAGAGGAUGAUCAGCCACAUUGGGACUGAGACACGGCCCAAACUCCUACGGGAGGCAGCAGUGGGGAAUCUUGCACAAUGGAGGAAACUCUGAUGCAGCGAUGCCGCGUGAGUGAAGAAGGCCUUUGGGUUGUAAAGCUCUUUCGUCGGGGAAGAAAAUGACUGUACCCGAAUAAGAAGGUCCGGCUAACUUCGUGCCAGCAGCCGCGGUAAUACGAAGGGACCUAGCGUAGUUCGGAAUUACUGGGCUUAAAGAGUUCGUAGGUGGUUGAAAAAGUUGGUGGUGAAAUCCCAGAGCUUAACUCUGGAACUGCCAUCAAAACUUUUCAGCUAGAGUUUGAUAGAGGAAAGCAGAAUUUCUAGUGUAGAGGUGAAAUUCGUAGAUAUUAGAAAGAAUACCAAUUGCGAAGGCAGCUUUCUGGAUCAUUACUGACACUGAGGAACGAAAGCAUGGGUAGCGAAGAGGAUUAGAUACCCUCGUAGUCCAUGCCGUAAACGAUGUGUGUUAGACGUUGGAAAUUUAUUUUCAGUGUCGCAGCGAAAGCGAUAAACACACCGCCUGGGGAGUACGACCGCAAGGUUAAAACUCAAAUGAAUUGACGGGGACCCGCACAAGUAGUGGAGCAUGUGGUUUAAUUCGAAGAUACGCGCAGAACCUUACCAACACUUGACAUGUUCGUCGCGACUUUAAGAGAUUAAAGUUUUCGGUUCGGCCGGACGAAACACAGGUGCUGCAUGGCUGUCGUCAGCUCGUGUCGUGAGAUGUUGGGUUAAGUCCCGCAACGAGCGCAACCCUCACUUUUAGUUGCCAUCAUUAAGUUGGGCACUCUGAAAGAACUGCCAGUGAUAAGCUGGAGGAAGGUGGGGAUGACGUCAAGUCCUCAUGGCCCUUACGUGUUGGGCUACACACGUGCUACAAUGGUAUCUACAACAGGAAGCGAAACGGCGACGUUAAGCAAAUCCUUAAAAGAUACCUCAGUUCGGAUUGUACUCUGCAACUCGAGUACAUGAAGCUGGAAUUACUAGUAAUCGUGGAUCAGCGUGCCACGGUGAAUGCGUUCCCGGGUCUUGUACACACCGCCCGUCACACCAUGGGAGUUGGUUCUACCUUAAGGCAAGGUUUAAAACCCUUGACCACGGUAUAGUCAGCGACUGGGGUGAAGUCGUAACAAGGUAACCGUA
rnacentral:rRNA from 1 species